UAUGGUGGUUACACCGUGAGGGUUCACCUCUUCCCAUACCGAACAGAGAAGUUAAGCCUCACAGGGCCGAUGGUACUACACAACAAUGUGGGAGAGUAGGUCGCUGCCAUAA
rnacentral:rRNA from 1 species